CUGAAAUCAGGCGGGAUUACCCGCUG
rnacentral:rRNA from 2 species